rnacentral:rRNA from 1 species
ACUACAUGAAGCUGGAAUCGCUAGUAAUCGCGGAUCAGAAUGCCGCGGUGAAUACGUUCCCGGGUCUUGUACACACCGCCCGUCACACCAUGGGAGUCGGAAAUGCCCGAAGUCGGUGACCUAACUGAAAGGAAGGAGCCGCCGAAGGCAGGUCUGGUGACUGGGGUGAAGUCGUAACAAGGUACC